ensembl:misc_RNA Metazoa_SRP Metazoan signal recognition particle RNA
GCCAGGUGUGGUGGCAGGCACCUGUAGUCCUAGCUACUCAGGAGGCUGAGGCAGGAGAAUCGCUUGAGCCCCAGACUUCUGGGCUGUAGUGCACCAUGUCAAUCUGGCAUCUGUACUAAAUUUCAUGGCAAUAUAGUGACCUCCCAGGAGGGAUGGACACUCAGGUUGCCUAAGGAGGGGUGAACUGACCCAGGUAGGAAAUACAGAAGGUCAAAACUCCAGUGCUGAUCAGUGGUGGAAUUACACCUGUGAAUAGCCAUUGCACUCCAACUUGAGCAACAGAGCAAGACCCUGUCUCU